rnacentral:rRNA from 1 species
UACGUAUGGAGCAAGCGUUAUCCGGAUUUACUGGGUGUAAAGGGAGCGCAGGCGGCUUUGCAAGUCUGAUGUGAAAGGCCGGGGCUCAACCCCGGGACUGCAUUGGAAACUGUAAAGCUAGAGUGCCGGAGAGGUAAGCGGAAUUCCUAGUGUAGCGGUGAAAUGCGUAGAUAUUAGGAGGAACACCAGUGGCGAAGGCGGCUUACUGGACGGCAACUGACGCUGAGGCUCGAAAGCGUGGGUAGCAAACAGG